rnacentral:lncRNA from 1 species
CAGAAGCCACGGGAACGAACGAGAAGGCAAACGGGCCCGGGGGCAGGGCGCCCGCCCAGGUGUUUCCACCAAUCACAGAAUGGAGUCCACCAUUGCAAAGAUCUCGUCGAGCUGAUCGAAAUGCAUAUAUUAUUUGCUAUAUUUGGAGUUCGGAAUCAAGAGAUAUUAAUAAAAGAAUGACUCCACAUAAAAGAGCUGCGGGAUUAAUUGGGCCCAAAUCAGAUUUUGGUCCAUUAAGGCCUAUGUGCAUUUUAAUGAGAUUGGGAGCAAAGUUUAGUACCACAUCGCCUGCUGAACCAAAAACGCAC